UUCAAUAUUACCUUUAAAACGUAAUGUGCACUUUUCUCUUAGUAAGACGCCGUGAUCCAUUAGAAAUUGAUACAUACAAAAUGUAUAUUGGGUCAUCAAUAGGCCAAUAUGAAGUUUUUCGGAACAAAUGGCAUCAUCAUUAACGAUUGUGUGUAUUGUCUGAUUAGCAUGUUGUGUCCUGUAAUGACUGUCUGAUGGGUUUUAAAGACUGUUAUCAAUGAUGUUUCGGCAUCACUCUCUCACGAGAGAUAUGAUACAUGUCUGAUCAACGGCGGUUCAAUUUGGGAUACCUUUUGGACCCGUCUUGAAACACGGACCAAGGAGUCUAUCUAGUAUGCGAGUAAAUGGAUAGUUAAUGAAAUCUAUUUGCGUAAUAAACUUGACUGUUUUUAUAUGGGAAUACGAGAUAUACUCUAACAAGUGUUUAUCUCUUCCAUCCCGGGGUAUUUUUAUCAACAUAUGCUUGCAUAUGGAAAAUAUACCAUGAGCACACUGGAUACGACCCGAAAGAUGGUGAACUAUGCCUGAUCAGGUCGAAGUCAGGGGAAACCCUGAUGGAGGACCGAAGCAGUUCUGACGUGCAAAUCG
rnacentral:rRNA from 1 species